rnacentral:rRNA from 1 species
CAUGCAAGUCGAGGGGCAGCACGAAUAGCAAUAUUUGGUGGCGACCGGCGCACGGGUGCGUAACACGUAUACAAUCUACCUUCAACAGGGGGAUAGCCUUUCGAAAGAGAGAUUAAUACCCCGUAAUAUAUUUAAUGGCAUCAUUGAAUAUUGAAAGUUCCGACGGUUGAAGAUGAGUAUGCGUCUGAUUAGCUAGUUGGUGAGGUAACGGCUCACCAAGGCGACGAUCAGUAGGGGAUCUGAGAGGACUAACCCCCACACUGGUACUGAGACACGGACCAGACUCCUACGGGAGGCAGCAGUAAGGAAUAUUGGUCAAUGGAGGCAACUCUGAGCCAGCCAUGCCGCGUGCAGGAUGACGGCCCUAUGGGUUGUAAACUGCUUUUGUACCAGAGAAAACCCCAGUACGUGUACUGGGUUGAUAGUAUGGUAAGAAUAAGCAUCGGCUAACUUCGUGCCAGCAGCCGCGGUAAGACGAAGGAUGCAAGCGUUAUCCGGAUUCAUUGGGUUUAAAGGGUGCGUAGGCGGACUUGUAAGUCAGUGGUGAAAUCUCUCAGCUUAACUGAGAAACUGCCAUUGAUACUGCAGGUCUAGAGUAUAGAUGACGUUGGCGGAAUAUGACAUGUAGUGGUGAAAUACUUAGAUAUGUCAUAGAACACCGAUUGCGAAGGCAGCUAACGAAACUAUAACUGACGCUGAG